CCCAGACUCCUACGGGAGGCAGCAGUGAGGAAUAUUGGUCAAUGGGCGCGAGCCUGAACCAGCCAAGUCGCGUGAGGGAAGACGGUCCUAUGGAUUGUAAACCUCUUUUGUCGGGGAGCAAAAGACGCCACGCGUGGCGUUCCGAGAGUACCCGAAGAAAAAGCAUCGGCUAACUCCGUGCCAGCAGCCGCGGUAAUACGGAGGAUGCGAGCGUUAUCCGGAUUUAUUGGGUUUAAAGGGGGCGGAGGCGGGAAGAUAAGGUAGGCGGUAAAAUUGGGGGGCACAACCGCGGCGAGCCGUUGAAACUGGUUUUCUUGAGUGAGCGAGAAGUAUGCGGAAUGCGUGGUGUAGCGGUGAAAUGCAUAGAUAUCACGCAGAACUCCGAUUGCGAAGGCAGCAUACCGGCGCUCAACUGACGCUGAUGCACGAAAGUGUGGGUAUCGAACAGGAUUAGAUACCCGCGUA
rnacentral:rRNA from 1 species